GUCAGUGUGGCACAGUGGUUUGAGUGUUGAACUAUGACUCUGGAGACCAGGGUUCGAUUCCCAGGUGGGCCA
rnacentral:tRNA from 1 species